rnacentral:lncRNA from 1 species
CCAUUUCUCCCAGGCCCAUAAAAUCAUCCAAAAAUAAAUAAAAUAAAUUAAAACAAAAAAAGCAAUAAAUAAAAGUCCAUUACACUAGCAUUCUAAAAUAGCCCAAAGCCAAAUUAAAUAAAAUAGUCUAGUCCAUUUACAUAGCAGCCCAAAUCACAUUUACACUUAUAGUCCAAUAAACAAACAAUAAACCCAAAUCCCCAAUUAACCUUAGCCUAUUCACAAACAAAAUUAACAGCCCAAGAAUACAAAAUUACAGUGGCCCAGUAACGAAAGCAAGCCCAACGGCCCAAAAUUUUCCAAAAAACAGAAACACUAGGUUCCCCUUUUUGCUAAGCGCUGCAGUGGCCACAACGGCCUUUACACUCCACAUCGACAUGCCCGCGAACGACUCUUACCUCUGUACAUUCACGUCACAGAACCUGCAAGAAGAAACAAAAAAACAGUACCACAGAAAAUAGGCCAGCAAAUGUAUAGAUCGAGGAUUUCUAUUCCUCUUUAUAUAUUUUUAUUUUAUUUUUUAUUCUAGAAAAUCGGCUAUAAAGAAGCCGAAGGUAAUCUGUAAAUGUUUACGCACACAGAUCAAUAGAAUCAAGAAAUAAAAAUAGUAUUUGCUAAAGGUGAUUUUCAUUUUUCUUUUCUUUUCGGGUUUUUUUUAUGUUGUUUUCAUUCUUUUUUUUUAUUCACUUUGAUACGAAUCUAAAGAAGGGAAAGAGGAGGGACUUACCUGAUUCCCCAGGGUUACAUCGGCGGAAGAUCCUUCUCCACCGUCGUAAUCGACCCUAAAAAGGGUAUUAAGCCCUACGUCCGUUUGAUUUAUCGGGUUUCGAGGGCUUAGCCUUUAAUGGCGCAUCAAGGCGGGGCUAAAAAGCCUAUUUUCGCAAUGUCGGCCACAACGGCGAUAGGGCAAACCGCCAGCCGAACCCACUCAACGGAAGAGAAGAUAUUGAGAGUUUUUUUAAAAAAGAAGGUUUUAAGUUUUAGAGAAUAAUCGGCUGAAUGAAUAUUUUAGGGUUUUUUUAGCAUAUAAACAAGAAAAAAAUGCCGCCAUUUUAAAGAGUAUUAUCGGAGGCCAAAACGACACCGUUUUGAACCUCCGACCCGAUGACCUGACCUAAACAUAACCAGGAUUCGCGUGUUUUGGUCUGUGAGGGAAUUUGCAUGAUUGGUCCCUCCCUUUCGCGCAGUCAUUUGAUUGAGCCCCAUUUCUAUUUCUUUUGUAUUUCCUUAUUUUUCCCUGAAAUUUGUGUGCCAUUUCAAGUUAGUCUGCGCCUAAACGAUGCAUUCAGGGAUUUGGUUCAUUUGCAUUUUUAUUCCUCUUUGGUUUGCACGUGUCGUAUUUUGGUCCUCCAUGCUGUUUUAAUCGUUUUAUUUAUUUGUAAAUUGUUCCUUUGAUUUUAUUUUUAUUUCAACAGAG